CCUACGGGGGGCAGCAGUGGGGAAUAUUGGGCAAUGGGCGCAAGCCUGACCCAGCAACGCCGCGUGAAGGAAGAAGGCUUUCGAGUUGUAAACUUCUUUUCCCAGGGACAAAGCAAGUGACGGUACCUGAAGAAUAAGCCACGGCUAACUAAGUGCCAGCAGCCGCGGUAAUCCGGAGGGGACAAGAGUUAUCCGGAUUUACGGGGUGUAAAGGGCGUGUAGGCGGGACUGCAAGUCAGAUGUGAAAACCACGGGCUCAACCUGUGGCCUGCAUUUGAAACUGUAGUGCUUGAGUACUGGAGAGGCAGACGGAAUUCCUAGUGUAGCGGUGAAAUGCGUAGAUAUUAGGAGGAACACCAGUGGCGAAGGCGGUCUGCUGGACAGCAACUGACGCUGAGGCGCGAAAGCGUGGGGAGCAAACAGGAUUAGAUACCCCUGUAGUC
rnacentral:rRNA from 1 species